rnacentral:rRNA from 1 species
AACGCUGGCGGCGUGCCUAAUACAUGCAAGUAGAACGCUGAAGAGAGGAGCUUGCUCUUCUUGGAUGAGUUGCGAACGGGUGAGUAACGCGUAGGUAACCUGCCUGGUAGCGGGGGAUAACUAUUGGAAACGAUAGCUAAUACCGCAUAAUAGCAGUUAUUGCAUGAUAACUGUUUGAAAGGUGCAAAUGCAUCACUACCAGAUGGACCUGCGUUGUAUUAGCUAGUUGGUGGGGUAACGGCUCACCAAGGCGACGAUACAUAGCCGACCUGAGAGGGUGAUCGGCCACACUGGGACUGAGACACGGCCCAGACUCCUACGGGAGGCAGCAGUAGGGAAUCUUCGGCAAUGGACGGAAGUCUGACCGAGCAACGCCGCGUGAGUGAAGAAGGUUUUCGGAUCGUAAAGCUCUGUUGUAAGAGAAGAACGAGUGUGAGAGUGGAAAGUCAC